GUCCUCAUAGCUCAACGGACAGAGCAAGGGUUUCCUAAACCCUAGAUGGAGGUUCAAUUCCUCCUGGGGACA
rnacentral:tRNA from 1 species